GGACUAUUUUUAAGACAAUUGAGCAUGAUUUUAGAAGGCUGCACAAUUGACAUUUUGCCUACUUCCACGUUUCGGUACUUUUCCUGAACAAUGUUUCUUCGUUCCCCCUCUCCUAGUAACGGACAUUUACGUUGCUCUGAUUCUCUGCCAUCCCAAGCAGCACCAUGAGGAACAGCGCUAUGCAGGACCUUCUGCGGAUGCACCUGUGCCAGUCUGUCUGGCUGGGGCCUGCACACUCCGAGAAAGGACUGUGCACUCUGAGGAAGGACUGCGCAGUCUGAGGAAGGGCUGAGCACUCUUGUGGAAGUACCGCCCACUCUGAGGAAGGACCGUGCACUCUGAGGAAGGACUGCGCAGUCUGAGGAAAGGCUGCGCACUCUCGUGGAAGUACCGCCCACUCUGAGGAAGGACUGCUAGGUUGUCUCUCUGGAAAGUUUUCUGUUGCCCAUGCGGAGAAUAUUCAAGUUUUGUUUCGGCCUUCCAGAAUUUCCCUCCUGUUUGGGGGGGAUCAUCCUCCACUCCGUUAUACAGCCUCGGAGGCAGACACCACUCGUCAUCGGAUGUCAAACCAAAGCUCCCCCAGGCUUAGCAGGUGUGGGUGCAGGAGGGUGCGGGAGUCAGAUCUCCAUCUAUCUGGUCUCGCCUUGUUUCUAGUCCUUUGCAGGGGUGUUCUUCCAGCAUCCUCCAAUCCAUCCGGGACUGUCCAUCUUGAGUGACACAAAAGAGUGGGGCAGGACAGCCUGGCCGACUGUCCCUCCGAGACCAGACACGGGUCACUUCCUGAAAGUCUGCAGCAGACGACACGGCUUCUCCCAGCCCGUCUUCUUCCCCACACGGUGGGCAUGGUAACGUCCUUAACAUGCACCUGUCAGUGUGAAAGCAGCAGGCUGAGAUCACACACCAAGUUCCCUAGAGUCGGGGUUUCAGCAUGUUAGCCGAGCUGGUCUUGAACUCCUGAGCUCAAGUGAUCCACCCACCCGAGCCUCCUAAAGUGUUGCGAUUACAGAGGCUACAGAUUUCCUCUCUGGAGAGAAGGAACCGGGGUUGCUCGCUGAGCUGACAAGAGGUGGCAUCCUGGAAAGAUGCAGCUGGCCAAAGCCUGCCCUCCAUACGGAGUCCCCCCCUCGGCCAAUGGCUCCAGCUAAAGGUGAGAGAAUUCCUUGCGUGGCAGAAUGGGCCACCCAAGACCUACCAACACUGACACUCAGGACCCCAGUCAAACAGAGUGGCCUUAGCAAGGGAGGUGGGUGCCAUUAUCAUCACUUGCGGAUGUGGAACUCAUGCCCAGAGGGUAUGACCAACCUGUAGGUUCCCAGCCAGGAAGCUGAAGGGCUCAGAUGCGAACCUGACUCAGUGUGGCACUCGGCAGGUCCCUUCCAGGAGCCUCAUCCCUGCCUCCGUAGGAUGGAGGUGGGGACAGCCCUCCUGAGGACACAUUUCCUGCACUGCCUCCCACAGCUGUGCCCAGACUCCCAGAGCCUCUCUCAUGCCAAGAGAGUCUGUGGUGGGAGCCAAGACAGCUGACCCCAGAAGCCCCGGGCACCCCAGACGCUCGGCCCUGGGAGGGUGGCUGUGCCGGACAGACUCCAGACAGAGCUCAGACUCCGGGUCUACACACAGUGACUUUAUUACUCUAUGGAUGCUGGUGAACUGCCCUCCCCAACCAGCUUCACGGGGGCAGGCAUCUCUGUCCAUCCCAUGCC
rnacentral:lncRNA from 10 species